rnacentral:rRNA from 1 species
GAUGAACGCUGGCGGCGUGCCUAAUACAUGCAAGUCGAGCGAACGGACGAGAAGCUUUCUUCUCUGAUGUUAUCGGCGGACGGGUGAUUAACACGUGGAUAACCUACCUAUAAGACUGGGAUAACUUCGGGAAACCGUGUCUAAGACCGGAUAAUAUUUUGAACCUCAUUGUUCAAGAGUUAAAGACGGUAUUGCUUUCGCUUAUAGAUGGAUCCGCGCUGCAUUAGCUAGUUGGUAAGGUAACGGCUUACCAAGGCAACGAUGCAUAGCCGACCUGAGAGGGUGAUCGGCCACACUGGAACUGAGACACAGCCCAGACUCCUACGGGAGGCAGCAGUAGGGAAUCUUACGCAAUGGGCGAAAGCCUGACGGAGCACCGCCGCGUGAGUGCUGAAGGUCUUAGGAUCGUAAAACUAUGUUAUUCGGGAAGAACAUAUGUGUAAGUAACUGUGCACAUCUUGACGGUACCUAAUCAGAAAGCCACGGCUAACUACGUG